AUUGAACGCUGGCGGCAGGCCUAACACAUGCAAGUCGAACGGUAACAGGAAGCAGCUUGCUGCUUUGCUGACGAGUGGCGGACGGGUGAGUAAUGUCUGGGAAACUGCCCGAUGGAGGGGGAUAACUACUGGAAACGGUAGCUAAUACCGCAUAACGUCGCAAGACCAAAGAGGGGGACCUUAGGGCCUCUUGCCAUCGGAUGUGCCCAGAUGGGAUUAGCUAGUAGGUGAGGUAACGGCUCACCUAGGCGACGAUCCCUAGCUGGUCAGAGAGGAUGACCAGCCACACUGGAACUGAGACACGGUCCAGACUCCUACGGGAGGCAGCAGUGGGGAAUAUUGCACAAUGGGCGCAAGCCUGAUGCAGCCAUGCCGCGUGUAUGAAGAAGGCCUUCGGGUUGUAAAGUACUUUCAGCGGGGAGGAAGGGAGUAAAGUUAAUACCUUUGCUCAUUGACGUUACCCGCAGAAGAAGCACCGGCUAACUCCGUG
rnacentral:rRNA from 1 species